rnacentral:rRNA from 1 species
UACGAAGGGUGCAAGCGUUGUCCGGAAUUAUUGGGCGUAAAGAGCUCGUAGGCGGUUUGUCGCGUCUGGUGUGAAAAUCCAGGGCUUAACCCUGGACCUGCAUCGGGUACGGGCAGACUAGAGUGCGGUAGGGGAGAUUUGAAUUCCUGGUGUAGCGGUGGAAUGCGCAGAUAUCAGGAGGAACACCGAUGGCGAAGGCAGGUCUCUGGGCCGUAACUGACGCUGAGGAGCGAAAGCAUGGGGAGCGAACAGG